GAGCAAGCUGCUGAAAUCCAGCUCAGGUCUCCAGCUUUGUGAGGCCCAGCUGCCGGGGAAACAUGGGCGGCGGGAGUCUGAAUUCCUAAGACGGGAGCCUGUCUUGUCUUUAGAGCAGGCUCUUGCCUGGGUCCCCUUCUCCACAGCGCACAUCUGGCACACCAGCCACCCGGACUGGCACUGCCCCAUGCCACCACUGCUCCCAGCAGGCUCUAACAGGACAAAGGACACUCGGGUGUUUGCCUGUGCACAGAUUUUCUGUGCGGGUGGCUGAGGGUCAGGUGGAUGGCCCAGCGGCCGAGGAAGGCAUUACAGGGGCUGCUCUUGGGUCAGUGGGAGCCAAUGUUGGCGAGGUAAUCCCUAAAGUUAUCAGCUGGAAGAGGGUCAAAACAGAGAAACUAAGCCAGGUCGCAGCCCUGGGCAGGGGCAGGAGCAGGGGCCACAAGCUGCUGACAAAGCCUCCUCCGAAAGGGGGCGGGCAGCCCUCACCCGCUAGGGUGAGCUCUGGGUUCCCCUCUAUGUCUCCAAGACAGAAGGACAGAAAAUUAUCCCCGGUCGGAUCCCCGCAGGAUGCCAGAGCCAAGAGAAUCCUGGGCAGACCAUGCCAUCAAUGCCAGCGGCACUUGGUGGCAGAGACAGAUGGAUCUCUGAGAGUUUGAGGCCAGCCAGAUCUACAAAAGAGACCUUAAACAAAAAGAGGCCUGAAUCGCUGGGAUCAUAAUCGGGGAGCCCUUCCUCAGGGCAACCACAGGAAAGCUGUGGUCCAGAGCAGGUGAAGGCAUAGCUCAUGCUGGCAGCCAAACUUGGCAAGGAAAUUCCUGGACGCUGACUCGGUGGCUGCUUCCUUGGAGAAAUCAAGGAAGAGCCAGCCCACCCCAAGGAAAUCCUCCCAUGGCACAGCCAUGAACUGAUGACACGGACCUGGUCUGGUCUCUCACGGAACGUUCUGGGACGGUCUGCCGGUCUCAGGAAGGAGGGUGGUGUUGGACGCUGUGCUGGGCUCAGCGAGGGGCACCUUUAAUUCAGGGCGCAGAGUUGGGUGAAUCUCAGUGAGUUCUAUAUAGUGGGUUCUGGGACAGCCAGGACCACAGAGAAACUCUGUCUCAAAAAACAAACAGACAGACAGAUGGCAGAGCUGGAAAACGCGCCCUGUCCUCAGCUGACCCUCCGUCAGCUCUUGGGCCCUCAUGGUAGAAGGAGAGAGCCCACUCAGGAAAUUCGUUCUCUGAAAUCAGUCGCCCCUCCCUCCCACACACAUGCACAAUAAAUGGACGGAUAGACAGACAGACAGACGGACACAGACAGACAGAUAGGUAUUAAAAAAUAGCAAGGGGCUGGAGAGCUAGCUAGCUAAGGGCAAGGCCUGCUCCUGCGUAGGAACUGCUGUGCGGCGCCCCCACAUCAGCAGUGUGCAGCUACCUAUAGCUCCAGCUCCAGGGACAGCUGCCUCUGUGGGCACCUGCACGCAUAUGCACACACACACAGACACACACGCAGCUUGGAAAUAAAACUAAAUAAUAAUAAUAAAGUCAAAACCUCAACGGUGGAGAUUUGGCCAGAAUUUCCUCUGAGAAACCUGUGUUUAUUGGGCUUCCUGGAAGAGCAUGAGAGAGGGUGGCUUAUGGGUAUGGGGGUGCUUCUCCCCCUCUACAGACUCCCACAGCCACACAGAGGCAGCUCCCCUGCCCUCCUCUCCUCCCUUAGCCCUCCCUGGAGCCCCAGGCAAUUAAGGACCAGACAACAGAUGAGGGUGUUGGGCCUCUUCCUGACCCUGGGUGUAAACGGUCGGUAAGUCCAGCUGGGGUCUUUUUGUAAAGUAAGGUCUGUCUUGGAGGACAGUCAGUCACACCAGUCAAUAGUACACACUGCUCCUGGCGGGGCCCGGGCCAUACCAGGCCGGACACUGGGCCACUCCAGUUCCCAAGAGCCCAGCACGUGGUUCCUGCACAUUUGUGUGAGCACCUGCACAAAGACACCGUAUGCACAUAAAUAAGUUAAUUUUUUUUUUUUUUUGGCUUUUUGAGAUGGGGUUUUGUUGUGGAUGUAAAUGCGUUUUUGUUUUGGUCCCAGGUGUGGGAUGUGGAGCUGAUUCAGAGGGUCACAGCAGCAGACUAUUUGCCUCGUGCGGGCUCUGAGAGGGGCUCUUUGCCAGCUGCAGAUAGUUUAAAGCUGAGGACUCUGGAGAGGGAAUAAAGGCCAGAGCCCAGAGAGUGAGGAGAACAAGGCUGUGCUGCUUCCUCCUGCUGCUCCUGUUGCUGUUGAGAAACAAGAAAUUGGAGAUCUCCUGAAACAAGGACUGGCCUGGCUCCAAGGAACCUGAGGACCCUUGGAAGGAAGCAGCUAAGAACUGUGCCCCCUCUCCCACUAACCCCCUCUCUCUCUUACCUGGUGUUGGGGUGUUGGUAAGGGAUUGGGGUGGAGUAGGGAAAAAAAGAUAAAAGAAAUGUAAAUAAAACAGUUUUUAAAAGUAUGCCUAAAAAAAUAAGUGUGCCUACAGGGUUUCUCUGCGUAGCCCCUGCUGUCCUGGAAUUCGAUUUGUAGAUCAGGCUGGUCUCUAACAGAGAUCCGCCUGCCUCUGACUCCCAAGGCGUGUGCCAUCUUGCCUGGCUGACAAAACAAAUAAAAAAAAAAAAACAAAAUCUGGGUGGUGGUGGCUCACGCCUUUAAUCUCAGCGGCAGAGGCUCCAUACAGAAACCCUGUCUCAGAAACAAACCAAAGCUCAGAGAAACAAAGACCCCAUUCUGACAGGAGGUAGGGUCUACCCUGGGACAGUGAUCUGGUCACUCUCGCUUCUGACUGGUCUGGAGUUGGACGUGGAAACAGUUAAGGAAGAUGAAGCUGAUGAGGGAGUCUGGUCAGCUUGGGGUCACUGGUGCUGCGCAUGUGGCCUCUUAGGCUGGGCUGUAGAGCAGUGCCUGCCUCCGUCUCUCACUUGCUCUCUCUGGCUCACUCGCUCUCCUUCCUAGGGGGUGGACCCUGCAGCCUUAUGCACGGUAAGCCCAAAGUCUACCGCGAAGCUACAUCCCAGCCCUCUUGUUUUAAGAUUUGUUUUUUGUUUUUUUUUUUUUGUUUUUUUUUUUUUUAAGAUUUGUUUUUUGAAACAGGGUUUCUCUGUGGAGUCAUGGCUGUCCUGGAACUCGCUCUGUAGACCAGGCUGGCCUUUAACUCACAGAGAUCCGCUUGUGUCUGCCUCCCAAGCGCUGGGGAUGGAACUGGAAAUUGGAUGCUCAACAGGGGAGCAGUCUACUGAAUGCUACAGGCCUGCCCUCCCGCCCGCAGUGUGCAGCCGCUUGCUUUUGGGUUGUCUUAGAGGAAAGACUUUCUCUGUGUAACAGCCCUGGGUAUCAUGGACCAGGCAGAUCACAGACCCACAGGCAAGAUGUCAGAUACAGGGCUGGAGAGAUGGCUCAUUUGUUAAAAGGACCUGAGUUCAGCUCCUACUACCCAUGACAAGACCUACCAGGAUCCUGCCAGUUGGACUGGGCUGGCUGCUGGCCACCAGAAGCCUGUGCUGACCUCCCCCCAGCACCGAAGGAUGGAAACUCUGCUUGUGUGCACACGGCAAGCACAGAAGAGCCGAGUCCCUCUGUGCGCCCCUCCAUCUCUGCUGACGUCUUCUGAGCUGGACCUCCUGGCACCACUCACAAGGCACCCCAUCUGCCCCUGGAAUCAGGACAUCAGUCGGCAAGCAGCCAAGGCUGGCCUUGAACACAGUGAUCUUUCUCUCAAGUGCAGGCGUUACAGGAAGCUCAGCACAGUGACCACGCAUGGCCCAGCUGUCCCUGGCGAUAUCAGGUUGGCACUUUGAUGCCAAAGUGCUUUCGGAGCUGCUCCAGAAACAUGAAGGCAUCACUGCUACGCUGUGAUUCCUGGGGCUAGAGGUCAGAAGUCACAGAUGUUGUCCACCAGAGCCACCUGCACGGGAAGCUCACCUGGCCCACCGUGACGAGGGCCCCGCGGCUGGACGCCAUGGUUGCUCCAGAGAAGAGCUUCUUCAGGCCUUCUGCAGGAGGAAGUGAGAGGUGACAUCACAGUCCCGAUGGCAGGCCCCCGAGCACUGCACUUGAUUUUCCACAUGUUUACAAUAAAGUAACGGCCCGGCCCUCUUACCUUCCCGGGCUACACGGUACAGACCA